AUUCCAGCUCCAAUAGCGUAUAUUAAAGUUGUUGCAGUUAAAAAGCUCGUAGUUGAACUUCGGAACCGGUCGAUUGGUCCGUCCUCUGGAUUGUGUACUGAUCGAUCUGUUCUUCUUCGCGAAGACCGCGUGUGCCCUUAACUGGGUGUGCACGGGAUUCACGACGUUUACUUUGAAAAAAUUAGAGUGUUCAAAGCAGGCAUUCGCUUGAAUAUCUCAGCAUGGAAUAAUAGAAUAGGACUUUGGUCUUAUUUUGUUGGUUUCCGAGACCGAAGUAAUGAUUAAUAGGACAGUUGGGGGUAUUCGUAUUCCGUUGUCAGAGGUGAAAUUCUUGGAUUUACGGAAGACGAACUACUGCGAAAGCAUUUACCAAGGAUGUUUUCAUCA
rnacentral:rRNA from 1 species